UGUGUGUGUGUGUGUGUGUGUGUGUGUGUGUGUGUGUGUGUGUGUGUGUGUGUGUGUUGAGCUCCAAGAUAUAGUUUCCUUCAAUCUGGGCAGAAUUUUAAAGCUUAGCUAUAUUUUGCCUUUGCCUUUCAUUCCUUCAUUCCCACUUUUUCUUCCCCCAUUCCAUAUUAUGGACAUUGUUGUAUUUCAGUGUGCAGAACAGAAGAGGAUAAAUCACUUUGAUGGCAGUCGCGUCCUGCAUCCCAAAAAUCUGAAGGGGCACAAAGUACUGUGGGCUGUGGGGGAGUGCAGGGAGGAGCUAUGCCCACACAUCUGAGCGCUGGCCCCUUGCAGGCUUAUCUGCCUCAAGGAUAUUACUCUACUUUAGAUGUCACCCUGGGUCUGAGGUAAUACUGAUCCAUAUCACCCUCUUCUCCUUUUUUUACCCAGGCAAAAACAUAACUGUUUCAACUUUGACCUGGACAUGUAUUAUUAUGUGUAGAUUUACUUUCUUCAGUGUAUUGAUUCAAUGUGAGAAGCCAUUAGCAGCAGGGACCACUGAGUUAGGCUACAUGUAUGUCCUCUUUAAAUCAGUCCCAGAAACAUUUGUUAUCUUCAAAUCUGUUUGAGCCAAAUAUCACCUCUGUCAAAUUGAAAUGUAGUCCUCCGGGCUGUUCUCAUAUUAAAGUCAUGUAUCACAGUUUCCAGUUGCACAGUUAUUAUACUUUGUCAGUGCUAAACAUGUAAUUGUUCUUCAGAGCAGAUUGCUCCUGAACAUUUCCUGUCAAUACUAAUAAGAGAUAAAUUGUUCCAUUUCAUAUUUUAUUCAUGCCCCGGUUUGUAGAACAUUAUUCUAAAUGUUUUUGUUUUUACUGUGGUUAAUUAUACCCUGUCUUGAGUUCAUGUCAACAACAUCUAAAGGUAAUAAUGAGGAAUAGAAGCCAUUUGUGAGUCAUUACACACUGCAGUUUGCUCGCCUCUUAUUUUUGUGUAGAGUAAUUAUUGUAUUUUCAAAUGGAUUACAUCCACAUAUUUAGUUCCCACUUUCUCUAUUAUCUCUUGGUUAAAGCCACUGAAGCGGGUCUAGCUCCAUCUGUUGUGGUUUGUCAUAGUUACUGUCUGUAUGGGAUGUGUUACUUAAAAGGGUCUACUUCCUCUUUCUUAUGUUUUACACACCCUCCUUUACAAUGGACAGUACAUCUUCAUAAUGUGGCCUGUGUGCUGUGUUUUAUUUCUACUGCUGUUCAAGUUGAAUACUACAUAUAUAUCUUUGCUGGCAUGAAUUUAUGAGUGAAAUAAAAAAAUACCUUUUAGGUUGUGAGCAUAUUGUAGUUUCAUUUUAAUGCUGACUCCACUGAAGCAGCCACUCAUUGACAUUUUCAAUACUUUUUUAUUUUUAUUUUUUACAAAUGGCUGAAUGAGGCUUUAAAUGCAGCUGAUAUUUGAAUCUUGGUGCCAUACGUAAACAGACGUGGCCCAGAUUCCUUUGGUUUUUUGAUAUGACAGUAAGGUAUAAAGAUUUUAUAAGUUACUAUCCUAAGAUUAUGCAAGCCAAUUUUACUCCCAUUGACAAUCUCUUUAAACCUGAGGAAAAUGGCCUUUUGCUGACAAAUACAUUUUUAAGUGGUUGUAUUAAGGUGUGGGGUUACAGUUUUGCUUUGAAAUAAGAACAGCACCAUAGCUAUAACACAUUUCAUUCGGUGUGACAGUAUAAAAUAUAUCAGGAAGCUCUAUGCUUGGCUGGGCUGUGUUGGUUGCCAGGUGCCAGUAUGUCAUCAUUUCCUCUCAGGGCCAGUCUUAAUUAGACAACAGAAACACUGCAGGCUGCUGCCAAUGGGGACUGAGUUCCCUCCAAACCCACAGAACAUUGUUCAUACUCUUCCCAGCACCAUACAUUCCUAUGGGGUCUGUAUGAGUGAGCAUGUGUGUAUUUGGAGGAGGCGUGGAUGGGGAGAUGUCACAUUUCAGUGUGUGUGUGUGUUGAGUGUGUGUUCCCUGUCUACAGUAUGUGUGCACACGUAGAUGUGUGAUGGGCAGUGUCAUUGUGUCAGUGUCCUUGUUAUUGUUUCUGUGUGUGUAUGUACGUGCAUGUGUGUGUCACACUGUAUGUGUUUGAGUGCGAUGUGUCCAGUGUACUCCACUGCAGAUGUAAACAGAAGUGACAUGCCUAUGGUAUAUUUACGGGUCCUUGCCCUUUGUCUCCCCAACUCUCUCUAAACUACCUUAUUCUCUACCUCUGAUUUUAGCAACAGCUCACUUUUGACAUAUGCGCUCCUUGUUCACAGACACAUUCCAUGCAGAAUGAAACUAUUUAAUGCAUAGCCACUUCUGUAUGUUCUCCCAGUUUGGGUUUUUAGGUCUUCAGAGUGCUGCAUGGCAGAAGUUUUUAGGUCAGUGCUCUUCUACUUUCUGCACUGCUCAGACUCUGGGGAUUCAGAAAUCACCGAUGGGAGCUGUGCUGCUGUCAAGCAAAGCCUCUUUCAGGUUGUCACAGGCUGCAAAGGAGUCCGGUUUGUACAUCAAUGUCCUGUUCUUUACUGCUGAGACUCAGUAAAGCCCCCCAAGACAGUGUAUGUCCUGAGUCUCAACGUUUGUGUACCAUCCAUGUAGGCCUACUGAUUUAUCUUAUUCUUUAUCGCUGGCAACAUUGAUGUGAUGUAAAUGCUGAGUACUCAGAUACAUUAAUAUUACAGAGGGUAUUGACUAAAUACAGUAUAUGUGUUGUAAUGAUUGUCAGAUUUUUCUCUCAGGCAUUUAGACCAAGAAAUGAAUUACCCCAGUAGGCCAAUCGAAAUUGAAAUGUAAUUACAUUUAGGUAAUUAUUUAAUAUUUAAUUUGAUAUUUACAAGGAAAUUCAUUUGUCCACAUUAAGCCAACAUAAUGCAAAUCAUUGGUGUAUUUAUGCUCAGUGUUUUAGUACUAGGCACAUCCCCUGCAUGUCACUGUCAGUAAUUGAGUGCAUUGAUUCAAGGAAAAUUAAAAACUGCCUGAUUAUUUCACGACAAAUUGAUGAGAACAGCAGCAAGUCAAUGUAUCCAUUUCCAAAUCCAAAUCGAAUUGGAAUUUGGAGUACAUCUGUGACUGCUAUCUCAGGCAGGCAGGCUUGCAGGCAUAGUCAGUGUGGCUGGUUUGGCCAAGCCAGCUAAGAACAGCUUGUUAUCUGUGUCUCAUAAUGAGAAGAAUCAAACAUAUUCCUCUACUUCUGUGGGUCUCCCUUCUAGAAUACAUUGUCAAUGUUUAGUUGUGUUCUCCAACUGAAACACUCUCAGCUUUUGAAGCUCCAUUCGUCAUCAGCGCGCACCAAUCCGCUUAACAAUGUGUGUCUGGGUGAUGUUUCCAUGGAAACUGUGUUUACUGCCCGGCUGAGGUCUAAAAAUGGUACCAAAGUGAUAACCGAGCCAGGCCUGUAAGUGGGGUGUACUGAGAGUGGGACAAUGUAACAGGUGGAUCCACAUGAAUGCACACAAACCAAUGAUUGUAUUUGUCUUUGUUAGGUUUUACCUUUAUAAGUUGUAACAUUUCUCCUUUAAAUAAGAUGAGAACUGAUUAUCAAUGUUUAGUUGUGAUCUCCAACUGAAACACUCUCAGCUUUUGAAGCUCCAUUCGUCAUCAGCGUGCACCCUUCUGCUUAACAAUGUGUGUCUGGGUGAUGUUUCCAUGGAAACUGUGUUGAUAAAAAAGGUGAUGAUCAAACAUCAGGUUUUAUUUGUGAAGAUAAGGUAAAUCAACUAAUUAGGGAGAGCAUUGUAUUCGGCAUUGCAACUGAAGGAAGUGAAUACUUAUUAUAGUAGAACUGGAUGUCUUCUGUGUCUGUAUUACUCCUGUGACCAUGGUUAUUGUAACUGGCAGAUUUAAAAGGGAGGGGUGCUGAGUAGUGAGAGCUGGUGAGUGCCAAUUUCGAUAGAAGCAAAUUAGAAAUUAAAGUUGACCUUGUGGCCAUACUGUAUUAGUGUGGAGAGCCAAUUGUAGCAUUAAAAGGCUAAUGAAUGCCAUUAUUUCCCUUCCCCACAAUGUGGAUUUCACUGGCACGUUGCCCAAACCUGGACACCAUGAGAUAGAUUGCCUUUUUAAAUUACUCUUACCAAGGGGCACCUUUGUCAUUAUAAUUGCUUAAUUUCCUCCAAUUGUAUCCAUCCCCUAACUUACAACAUAUUGUAGCAGCAGUGGUUUGUGCAACCUUGAGUAAGAGUUAGUGUUAUGUUGUUUUAUACCAAUAAAUGUUCAUCUUGUUCACUGCCAGUUCUGAAGCCAUUUCAAGGCUAACAUACAUGCAAAUGCAAUAUAAGAGCUGUUUUAGUCAUUCCAUUAUGAACCUAAUCCAUUUCGUUUUCCUUGUGUCAGAAGUGGGUUUGCACAACCUCGACCAGAUGGAUGGGCCAUUUUUACAUUAUAGACAUCAAAAAGUGGAGCAAAAGAUCCAGGAGAUGGUCACGACAGGGGUCAUCAGGCUAUCCAACGGCCCUUGGAUGGCCCCUGUAGUCCUUGUCAAGAAGAAGGACAGCUCAUGUUGCUCCUAUGUGGACUUCAGGCAGCUGAACUAUGUGACUAGGAAGAAUUCCUAUCCCCUCCCGCUCCCUCCAUCUCCUGAAAGCCAGGCUGAAGACUGCCUUCACAAUUGCAUUAGGUCUUUGUCUGUUCACUUUGAUUCCCUUUGGACUCUGCAACACUCUGUGCCUACCUUUGAGCACCUUAUGGAGCAAGUUAUGACCACAAUCCCCUGCAACAAGUGUGUUGUCUACCUGGAUGACCUCCUUGUGCACUCACCGGACUUCAAGGGUCCAUUCCCUUGAAGGGGCAAGCCACUUUGGGCACACAAAUACCAUCCACCGCCUCAGAGAGAAUUCUUACUGGGCUGGAGUGGUAUGUGUAUGCCUGCGAAACCUGUAUUGGCCACAAAGGCCCAACUGGACACUCCCAUGCCCCAUUACAGCAAUACCAGGUGUGGGUCCCCAUCAAGCGGGUCCUUUCCCCAAGACUGAGGCGGGCAACCGGUUCGUAUUGUAGCCAUGGACUGCAUUACCGUGGCCAGAGGCCAAUGUAGUUCCCGACCAGUCCACCACAACUACUGCCAACAAGCUGGUGAAGGGGAUGUUUUGCCGGUUUGGAGUACUGGAAGAUGUCCACAGUGAUCAGACGAGAAAUGUUGACAAUAAGGUGUUAAAGACAGUCUGUAUGGAACUGGUGGUGCGCAGGACGAGAACCAGCCCCCUGUUCUUUAAAGCAAAAGGCUGGUCGAACGGUCUAAUCAGACUUUGGCGAUACAUCUGGCUACGCUCACCUCAAACCACCAGAAGGACUGGGACAAACAUCUGUCAUUGGUCUAUUGGGCUUACCGGUCAGCAGUACAAGAGUCCACUGGCUGCACCCCAGCGGCGCUGAUGUUAGGCAGAUAACUAAACACUACAGUGGACUUUUCCUUUGGAAUACCACCUCAACCUUACAGUAAGCAGUGCUUGGAUACAGGCCAUAACUUCGUACGGUGUCGCUUGAUGGAAUGCAUGGUCAAACUUACGCUGUGAGGUCCAGGGACUUGGCCUCUCACUAUGACUCAUCGGAAGGUAUCAAUCAAUCACAUUUAUUUCAUAAAGCCCUUUAUACAUAAGCAUUGCUAUACAUAUACCCAGCCUAAAACCCCCAAAAGGAAGCAAUGCAGAUGUAGAAGGACAGUGUUAGGUGUAGAAGGACAGUGUUAGGUGUAGAAGAACAGUGUUAAGUGUAGAAGCACAGUGUUAAGUGUAGAAGGACAGUGUUAAGUGUAGAAGAACAGUGUUAGGUGUAGAAGAACAGUGUUAGGUGUAGAAGAAUAGUGUUAGGUGUAGAAGGACAGUGUUAGGUGUAGAAGCAGAGUGUUAGGUGUAGAAGGACAGUGUUAAGUGUAGAAGAACAGUGUUAGGUGUAGAAGGACAUUGUUAGGUGUAGAAGGACAGUGUUAGGUGUAGAAGGACAGUGUUAGGUGUAGAAGAACAGUGUUAGGUGUAGAAGGGGACAGUGUUAGGUGUAGGACAGUGUUAAGUGUAGAAGAACAGUGUUAUGUGUAGAAGAACAGUGUUAUGUGUAGAAGAACAGUGUUAGGUGUAGAAGAACAGUGUUAGGUUUAGAAGGACAGUGUUAGGUGUAGAAGCAGAGUGUUAGGUAUAGAAGGACAGUGUUAGGUGUAGAAGGACAGUGUUAGGUGUAGAAGAACAGUGUUAGGUGUAGAAGGGGACAGUGUUAGGUGUAGAAGAACAGUGUUAGGUGAAGAAGGACAGUGUUAGGUGUAGAAGAACAGUGUUAGGUGUAGAAGAACAGUGUUAGGUGUAGAAGGACAGUGUUAGGUGAAGAAGCAGUGUUAGGUAAGGAGACAUGUGAAAUGAGUUCACAUUGAACAAAAAUCUAUACUCUAUCUAGCCUACCAGGUCUGACAACAUCCUCCCUGUCUCCAUGACAACAUGUUUGUAGAAAAUAAAACAAAUAUCCCACUGGGCACAGACGUCAGUUCAACGUCUAGUUUUGAUUUACAUUUGGUUGAGUUGUCAAAUACAGUGAAUUCAACGUGAAAUCAACAAAUCAUUUUACCAUGUCAUUUGAUUUAGGUUAAAAGUUUGGUGAAAGAAAGAUGUAAUUCCCUUACGUUGAUUACUUUUUUCAAAUCCAAUCAGUUUACCAUGUUGAUUAAACGUCAUCACAUUGAAUUUGUUGGUUGAAAUGACGUGGAAACAACGUUGAUUCAACUAGUUUUUGCUCAGUCGGAUGAUGCCCAGAGAGAGACUCACAUGGUGUUGGUGCAGGGCUGACUCUGCUCAUUUUUCUGUCACAUCAAUAAAAUGCUUUUUAGCAAACUGACAGCCACAAGUACAUACAGUACUGUACUGAAGCUUUCCACAGACACACAACAGCUGUUCGAAAAAAAUACUAUGGUCUUAUGAAAAUAAUCCUUGAUCUUAAUUGCUCUUCAAUACCAGAAUACAGUCAAGUAAUAUAGUGUCGGCAUGUCUUCAUAUAGAUACUGUAUAUGAUGGAUUGAAAGUAAGUUACAUUUGAGAAAAGUGAGGAUAUUAUGCAAACAAAAGCUCUAGGACCUAUAAAGGUAGAGUAAAUUCAAUUAUUUCACAGAUAUUUUCAGUUGUCCAUUGGCACUGACCAGUGGCUAGCCCCAGCCCUAUGGAGUGAAGCCAGGCAUAGUAAUCAUUCUUCAGUAAUCAGAGCUCACUGGACUGUCUCCUGGACCUUGCCUGAUAGACUAGAUCAAUGUCCUGUCAGAUCCUACCCUUCAAUAUUCCACGUAACUGGGCUCUCCACAGCCCAGGCCCCACAACACAGGAAUGACCUGCCAUCUCACAAUAUCCAGUCUCCACUAGUAUUUACCUGCCGUUUCAUAGGUGGCAAUUGAAAUCAAUUCAACAUAAUUGAUAAUUACCUGGUGUCACAUCGGUAUCUAGAGGUGUUUUUAUAGGAUGAGACUAUAUUUACUUCAAAGACAAGUCAUUGUAGGCCUCGCAAAUCUUGUAUCCAUAUAUUUAUGUAUGGCUCUGGUAUGGCUCUGGUAUUGGGCUUCAAAAUGUGGGUUUUCAAUAUGUUUCCAUAACUACUGUAUGUACAAUUAGACUGGUGCAGACAAAACACAUGAUUUUCACACAAAGUCAUUAACUUGCAGCAAUUUUAACUUGCAACCUUUCAAGCUUAUACUAAAGGUGGCAAUACAUUUACUGAGGCUUAUAAUUGUUUGUCAAUAAAGAAUGAUACCAACAUAGCUCCAGUAGUUUGUGGAGGUAUAUUUUCAACUCUAAUUUGUUGAAUUAGCAUUCAUGAUUAUAUAUAGAUAUAGGACCUUAAUUUGAUAACCCUG
ensembl:lncRNA